rnacentral:rRNA from 1 species
AGGAUGAACGCUAGCGGCAGGCUUAACACAUGCAAGUCGAGGGGUAUAGUUCUUCGGAAUUAGAGACCGGCGCACGGGUGCGUAACGCGUAUGCAAUCUACCUUUCACAGAGGGAUAGCCCAGAGAAAUUUGGAUUAAUACCUCAUAGUAUAGCAGUUUCGCAUGAAACCACUAUUAAAGUCACAACGGUGAAAGAUGAGCAUGCGUCCCAUUAGCUAGUUGGUAAGGUAACGGCUUACCAAGGCAACGAUGGGUAGGGGUCCUGAGAGGGAGAUCCCCCACACUGGUACUGAGACACGGACCAGACUCCUACGGGAGGCAGCAGUGAGGAAUAUUGGACAAUGGGCGCAAGCCUGAUCCAGCCAUGCCGCGUGCAGGAUGACGGUCCUAUGGAUUGUAAACUGCUUUUAUACAGGAAGAAACACUACUUCGUGAAGUAGCUUGACGGUACUGUAAGAAUAAGGAUCGGCUAACUCCGUG